GUGAAUCAUCGAAUUUUUGAACGCAAAUUGCACUCUCCUCGGAGAGUAUGCCUGUUUGAGGGUCAGCCUAUAAAAAAUCGACAGCGUAGCGGUUUCGCGGUGGAGGGCGUCGGAAAUUGGGUCAACUUAAAUCUGUUGGUUUUAAGCGACUUAAAAUUUUCUUUUUGGUUCCAUGAACGGUUCUAAGAUUUAUGUCUUUACACGGUUAAGGUAUCGAUUGUUAUUAGACGGGAUCAUCAUAG
rnacentral:misc_RNA from 1 species